UCUGCUGGGCUCGGGCGGGGGCGGGGCUACAGGUUGGGUCCCGCCCACCGCCUUCGUCACACGUCAGCAAGUCGUCCGAGCCCCCUCUUAGCACCAGUCCUGGCAAAUUGUAGCCUCUUCUGUCAAUGCACGCCUUUCUGUUUGGUUUGUAAUUACAUGAGGCACAGGCAGCCACACCGCAGCGCAGUUCUGAAUUGGAUCAAACCGUGCGGAAAAUGGGCUUUACACGUCCUGAAGUCUCGUUCUAUCUUAUCAAAGUUUUGUGGCACCAAGAACAUUCGGCUUCUCUUUAUAUUCCCAAAGCCAUUAACACAUAAAUGUGUAGUUAUUGCAUGACGAAAUAAGCCCAGUGAGUCUCAGAGACAGCAAGAGCUGCCGAUGCUGGAGUCAGACAACAGUGUGGAGCUGGAGGAACACAGCAGGCCAGGCAGCAUCACAGGAGCAAAAACCCUUCUUCAGAAAAUGAAAGAUCCCGACCCGAAACGUCAACUUUCCUGCUCCACUGGUGCUGCCUGGCCUGAUGUGUUCCUCCAGCUCCACGCUGUUGUUAUCUUUAAGCCCAAUGAAUGUUUACAUAUUGCAAAGACCAACAAAGUAAAUUGCGUCAAAGUAUUCCAAAAUUGAAUGAAACUGGCGGCUUUUGACCAGCAAACAUUACAAACUCCAGCUUCUCUGCAAAUAAUUCCCAUUCUGGACUUUUUCCCGCAGCGAUACAAAACCGUGUGACGGACUUCUAACUAUAAUACCAGUGUUUUGGGUUGGUGUUUAGGUCAACACAUGAGACACGAGUUUAGGGAAAUUGGCAACGAUUGUAGGAAGUAAUUUGUAGAUGUGUAUUUUGGUGUAGUUUGUAGUUUAAAUGUAUUCAUUUUAAUUAAAUAACUAAAGUUCUA